rnacentral:rRNA from 1 species
GAUGAACGCUGGCGGCGUGCCUAAUACAUGCAAGUCGAGCGAACGGACGAGAAGCUUGCUUCUCUGAUGUUAGCGGCGGACGGGUGAGUAACACGUGGAUAACCUACCUAUAAGACUGGGAUAACUUCGGGAAACCGGAGCUAAUACCGGAUAAUAUUUUGAACCGCAUGGUUCAAAAGUGAAAGACGGUCUUGCUGUCACUUAUAGAUGGAUCCGCGUUGCAUUAGCUAGUUGGUAAGGUAACGGCUUAACAAGGCAACGAUGCAUAGCCGACCUGAGAGGGUGAUCGGCCACACUGGAACUGAGACACGGUCCAGACUCCUACGGGAGGCAGCAGUAGGGAAUCUUCCGCAAUGGGCGAAAGCCUGACGGAGCAACGCCGCGUGAGUGAUGAAGGUCUUCGGAUCGUAAAACUCUGUUAUUAGGGAAGAACAUAUGUGUAAGUAACUGUGCACAUCUUGACGGUACCUAAUCAGAAAGCCACGGCUAACUACGUG